rnacentral:lncRNA from 1 species
CUUUAUGAGACGCUCUCCCUUGAGUAGUAACGUCUUUGAUCUGCCUGCACUUUGCUGUGGGACACUGGACGAGUCACCAUCCUACGGGGAUUGUAAAAAGGGCUUGGUGUCCUCUCGCUCACACUUCGUAACUCCACGACCCUCAUGGCGCACACCAGAGGAAAAUCUUGUUGUGGAAUCCUUCAUCAGUAGUGCUGUGAGCUUCAUAUCAUAUCACACCAGGAGGUAUACAAUCUCUAGACAUCCCGUGGUUAGUGAUGCAUGACCGAUCAAUGAAUUCAGAAGGUGGCAGUCUGAUCUCCUCUCCUCCCCCGCUAUAAAGCUUCCCAUCAACCUUUCACCUAGUGCUUCAUCUAUUGGUGAUCAUGAACUGCUGCAAAAUGUCUGAUUGCAUUUUCCCUGUUGACACGUCCUUGAACAAGGACAAUUCUACAUGACCCUGGCAUUGCCACCUACUCAAACCUUUGAUCUGGAAUGCCACAAAUCUAAGAGAUCUUCUAUCCGGUGACAACAGCUCUUUGCAGACAUUGCAAAGUCCUUUUCUGGUUUAAGCUCUGCCUCUGCCAUGUGUUGUAAUCAGCACAGAAUGACAAGGGGUGAGCAGCAGUGUUAGAACAGAUGUGACACACCUGCAGCCUACCACUGCAGCCUGGCCUUUUUGGAGGAAGUCUUCCCUACUUUCUACCAGCCUGGCAACCUGAACAUAGAACAUGACCACAUGAGUCCAGAAGACCUGAAGAGAAGUGUACAGAUUUGGGUUUUCUUCCCAAAGAAGAAGAGGUGGGCAGGAGAAACUUCUUCCUGCUUGUGGAUGCAGUUGUGCGAGAAUAUAAUUCCCAAAGCAACAACAGCAGCCACUUUGUGACCACGAGGUAACCAACCCAAAUGGAAGCCAAUGUGGUAAGGAAGGCAGAACAAAAUUUGUUUAAUACAGAUUUUUAAUGAUCUUAUUAAGCUCUUCGAACCAAGUUUGGAACUACCUUCCUCAGAAUGAAAAAAACAAAAACAACUGGGAAUUCUGUAUCCGAGAUGCUUGUAGCCCGCCUUUCUAGCAUAGGGUACAUUCACUCCAGCUGGUUUACCUCUUGCUAUCAAAAUACAUAGGGCCUUUGUUGGUUGUUUGGAUUUCCUCUCAGUGUUGUGCAGACCAACAAAAUUUGGGGGUAUAUUAAAGUAAAUAUGCUUUAAAAUUAGUGGUUGCACUGUGUUCUUAUUUAACACAUCCAUUCAGGAAGGAAUAUGAUUAUGAGCAUGGAUUUUGAUCAGAUCGCCUAAAUUUAAAACUCACAUCCACCUCUUACUAAUUUUGGGAUCUAAGGAAAGUUACUAAACACUCUACCUCGGUUCCCUUAUGUGUAAAGUGAGGCUAUUACUGGUAUUUACCAGAAGAGCUGUUAUGAGGCUUUCGUGAGUUAACACAUAAUGUGCUUAGGACAAUGCCUAGGUUAGAGUAGCUGCUCCUUAAAGCUAGCAAUUACAGCCACCCCUCUGCAUCCAC